GGCCUAAUGGCCCAAUGGCAAGGCGCUUGACUACGAUUGUUUCCGAAAUCAAGAGAUUCCAGGUUCGACCCCUGGUUAGGUCA